UAGAGUUUGAUCCUGGCUCAGGAUGAACGCUAGCGGCAGGCUUAACACAUGCAAGUCGAGGGGCAUCGGGAGGGAAGCUUGCUUUCCUUGCCGGCGACCGGCGCACGGGUGAGUAACACGUAUGCAACCUGCCCUCUUCAGGGGGACAACCUUCCGAAAGGGAGGCUAAUCCCGCGUAUAUCGGUUUCGGGCAUCCGAGAUCGAGGAAAGAUUCAUCGGAAGAGGAUGGGCAUGCGGCGCAUUAGCUUGACGGCGGGGUAACGGCCCACCGUGGCGACGAUGCGUAGGGGUUCUGAGAGGAAGGUCCCCCACACUGGUACUGAGACACGGACCAGACUCCUACGGGAGGCAGCAGUGAGGAAUAUUGGUCAAUGGGAGAGAUCCUGAACCAGCCAAGCCGCGUGAGGGAAGACGGCCCUAUGGGUUGUAAACCUCUUUUGUCGGAGAACAAAACCCGGGACGUGUCCCGGACUGCGUGUAUCCGAAGAAAAAGCAUCGGCUAACUCCGUGCCAGCAGCCGCGGUAAUACGGAGGAUGCGAGCGUUAUCCGGAUUUAUUGGGUUUAAAGGGUGCGUAGGCGGUCCGUUAAGUCAGCGGUAAAAUUGCGGGGCUCAACCCCGUCGAGCCGUUGAAACUGGCAGACUUGAGUUGGCGAGAAGUACGCGGAAUGCGCGGUGUAGCGGUGAAAUGCAUAGAUAUCGCGCAGAACUCCGAUUGCGAAGGCAGCGUACCGGCGCCACACUGACGCUGAGGCACGAAAGCGUGGGGAUCGAACAGGAUUAGAUACCCUGGU
rnacentral:rRNA from 1 species